UAACACGGGGGGAGCAAGCGUUGUUCGGAAUCACUGGGCGUAAAGGGCGUGUAGGCGGUUCGGCAAGUGAGAUGUGAAAUCCCUCGGCUCACCCGAGGACCUGCAUCUCAAACUGCCGGACUAGAGUAUGGGAGAGGAUGAGGGAAUUCCUGGUGUAGCGGUGAAAUGCGUAGAUAUCAGGAGGAACACCGGUGGCGAAAGCGCUCAUCUGGCCCAAUACUGACGCUGAGGCGCGAAAGCUAGGGGAGCAAACGGGAUUAGAUACCCCGGUAGUCCUAGCCGUAAACGGUGAUCACUAGGUGUUGGAGGCAUCGACCCCUCCAGUGCCGCAGCUAACGCAUUAAGUGAUCCGCCUGGGGAGUACGGCCGCAAGGUUG
rnacentral:rRNA from 1 species